rnacentral:rRNA from 1 species
UACGUAGGGUGCAAGCGUUGUCCGGAAUUAUUGGGCGUAAAGAGCUCGUAGGCGGCUUGUCGCGUCGUCCGUGAAAACUCGAGGCUCAACCUCGGGCUUGCAGUGGGUACGGGCAGACUAGAGUGCGGUAGGGGAGACUGGAAUUCCUGGUGUAGCGGUGGAAUGCGCAGAUAUCAGGAGGAACACCGAUGGCGAAGGCAGGUCUCUGGGCCGCAACUGACGCUGAGGAGCGAAAGCAUGGGGAGCGAACAGG